AACAGUGUCCAGUUCAGUAGCUCCCUUUCUUUCCUCCAGUCCCCAAGUUGUACUCACAUUUUGACAGAACAUUUGCGUUGCCACGUAAAGAACCACGACCAGAGGAGAUGGCGGCUGAGGAUAAAAGGAGCCUGCGAGCGGGAGGAGAAAGCUACGGGCAGCAACGUGUCACGCGACUAGCUGCAGAAAGGAAGUUUUUCCUAACUAUGCAUAGUCUCCUCCUUGCUUUGAUAGGGAUAUAGUCACAGGAAAGCAAAGGAAUAUUGCAUCUGAACCAGGAGUGAAUAUUCUCGGAGAUAAAGCGACAGAUGGGAGGCGGUGUCUUUCUUUUUCAGGAGCAGGUCUUCGAGAAAUGACUGAAUGAUCAAUGGGGAAGGGUCUGUUUCACGUCUGGUUCUCUUUGUUCAUCUUGAGUCCUCCCCAGCAAUCCUCCAUGCUGUG